UACAGAGGUCCCAAGCGUUGUUCGGAUUCACUGGGCGUAAAGGGUGCGUAGGCGGCCGGAUCAGUCUGAUGUGAAAUCUCGGAGCCCAACUCCGAAACGGCAUUGGAUACUAUUCGGCUAGAGGUUGGGAGGGGGGACUGGAAUUCUCGGUGUAGCAGUGAAAUGCGUAGAUAUCGAGAGGAACACCAGCGGCGAAGGCGAGUCCCUGGACCAAUCCUGACGCUGAGGCACGAAAGCCAGGGGAGCAAACGGG
rnacentral:rRNA from 1 species